GACGAGGGAUCCUAGCGUUGUUCGGAAUCAUUGGGCGUAAAGCGGGUGUAGGUGGGCUUCUAAGUCAGAUGUGAAAUCCCAGGGCUCAACCCUGGAAGUGCAUUUGAUACUGGAAGUCUUGAGUGUGGUAGAGGUUACUGGAAUUGUUGGUGUAGUGGUGAAAUACGUAGAUAUCAACAGGAAUACCGGAGGCGAAGGCGAGUAACUGGGCCAACACUGACACUGAGACCCGAAAGCGUGGGGAUCAAACAGG
rnacentral:rRNA from 2 species